CGGUGUUCAACUGGCGUGUCCGCGGGACGUCCUGCCGGUGGGCUUAGCCCGCAAGGGCGGCCCAACUUCAAAUCCCAUCGCGGUGCUCUUCACUGAGUGUCGAGGUGGGCCGGCACGUUUACUUUGAACAAAUUAGAGUGCUUAAAGCAGGCUAAAACUUCGCCUGAAUACUGUGUGCAUGGAAUAAUGGAAUAGGACCUCAGUUCUAUUUUGUUGGUUUUCGGAACCCCGAGGUAAUGAUUAAUAGGAACGGAUGGGGGCAUUCGUAUUGCGACGUUAGAGGUGAAAUUCUUGGAUCGUCGCAAGACGGACAGAAGCGAAAGCAUUUGCCAAAAACGCUUUCAUUGAUCAAGAACGAAAGUUAGAGGUUCGAAGGCGAUCAGAUACCGCCCUAGUUCUAACCAUAAACGAUGCCAGCUAGCGAUCCGUCGACGUUCCUCCGAUGACUCGACGGGCAGCUUCCGGGAAACCAAAGCUUUUGGGUUCCGGGGGAAGUAUGGUUGCAAAGCUGAAACUUAAAGGAAUUGACGGAAGGGCACCACCAGGAGUGGAGCCUGCGGCUUAAUUUGACUCAACACGGGAAACCUCACCAGGCCCGGACACCGGAAGGAUUGACAGAUUGAGAGCUCUUUCUUGAUUCGGUGGGUGGUGGUGCAUGGCCGUUCUUAGUUGGUGGAGCGAUUUGUCUGGUUAAUUCCGAUAACGAACGAGACUCUAGCCUGCUAACUAGGCGUAUUUUCGACAUCUCAAAGGUCCGUCGUCCCGGUCCUCGGGUCGUGGGCGUGCGCGAUUUUUACUGUCGGCGUACUAUCAAUUCUUCUUAGAGGGACAGGUGGCUUCUAGCCGCACGAGAUUGAGCAAUAACAGGUCUGUGAUG
rnacentral:rRNA from 1 species